rnacentral:rRNA from 1 species
CCCUUAGAGUUUGAUCAUGGCUCAGGAUGAACGCUAGCGGCAGGCCUAACACAUGCAAGUCGAACGGUAACAGGGAAGAGCUUGCUCUUUCGCUGACGAGUGGCGCACGGGUGCGUAACGCGUAUACAAUCUACCUUGUACAGGGGUAUAGCCCAGGGAAACUUGGAUUAACACCCCAUAGUAACAUAUUUUGGCAUCAUUAUAUGUUUAAAACUACGGUGGUACAAGAUGAGUAUGCGUCCCAUUAGCUAGUUGGUGUGGUAACGGCACACCAAGGCAACGAUGGGUAGGGGCCCUGAGAGGGGGAUCCCCCACACUGGUACUGAGACACGGACCAGACUCCUACGGGAGGCAGCAGUGAGGAAUAUUGGACAAUGGGCGAGAGCCUGAUCCAGCCAUGCCGCCUGCAGGAAGACUGCCCUAUGGGUUGUAAACUGCUUUUAUACGGGAAGAAACCCACCUACGUGUAGGUGGCUGACGGUACCGUAAGAAUAAGGACCGGCUAACUCCGUGCCAGCAGCCGCGGUAAUACGGAGGGUCCGAGCGUUAUCCGGAAUCAUUGGGUUUAAAGGGUCCGCAGGCGGCCAGAUAAGUCAGUGGUGAAAUUCCGUGGCUCAACCACGGAACUGCCAUUGAUACUGUUUGGCUUGAAUCAGUUCGAGGAUGCUGGAAUGUGUGGUGUAGCGGUGAAAUGCAUAGAUAUCACACAGAACACCAAUUGCGAAGGCAGGUGUCCAGGACUGUAUUGACGCUGAUGGACGAAAGCGUGGG